ensembl:misc_RNA Metazoa_SRP Metazoan signal recognition particle RNA
GCCGGGUGUGGUGGCUCACGCCUGUAAUCCCAGCACUUCGGGAGGCUGAGGUGGGUGGAUCACCUGAGGUCAGGAGUUUGAGGCCAGCCAGUUCAAGGCCAACCUGGCCAAGAUGGUGAAACCCCAUCUCUA